CCUACGUGGAGCAGCAGUGAGGAAUAUUGGUCACUGGGAGGAAUCCUGAACCAGCCAUGCCGCGUGCAGGACGACGGCUCUACGAGUUGUAAACUGCUUUUGUACCGGGGUAAAAUGCCUUACGUGGAGGGUUUUGAAAGUACGGUACGAAUAAGGAUCGGCUAACUCCGUGCCAGCCGCCGCGGUAAUACGGAGGAUCCGAUCGUUAUCCGGAUUCAUUGGGUUUACAGGGUGCGUAGGUUGUUUUAUAAGUUAGCGGUGAAAUACCGAUGCUCAACAUCGGGGCUGCCGCUAAUACUGUAGGACUAGAGAUCGGAUGCAGCAGGCGGAAUGUGUAGUGUAGCGGUGAAAUGCAUAGAUAUUACACAGAACAGCGAUUGCGAAGGCAGCUUGCUAGGCCGGAUCUGACACUGAUGCACGAAAGCGUGGGGAUCGAACAGGAUUAGAUACCCGUGUAGUC
rnacentral:rRNA from 1 species